UUGUUGGCAAGGAUGUGGAUCUUAUUGAUUCAUUUGCUGAUUCACUUUGUAAGGUUUUCACAUUGGUAACCACACCUCUGUGACGGGGAGUUUGGCAGUGAAUAGUACCCAAAGUCUAUCCACUGAAAGAGCUGCCAGUUCUGUAUGGUCCUUGGUCCUAAGCGCAGGCGUCAAGAGGAACCCGGGAUUAAUCCCGGGAUUAAUCUGACCUGGAUUCAUCUGUAAAAACAUGAAUUAAACAGCCAUUUCAUUAGAAAUUGGGGUUAACUUCAUGCAUUGUAAGUAGGAAAGCUGAUUGAUGGUCUUAAUGCGUCUGGACAAAAGAGAUUUGAAUGGUUGUGUGAACAUUGUGCAAUGAGAAAAGUCAGCCUCUGGGGUUUUGUUUAAAUAACUAUUCAAUUCAGUAAUAAAUAAAUAAUUGGGUAUCUACAGUUGAUUAGCAGGUAUGGUUAGAUCAAAGCCGUAGUUUAGGGAAUACUGAAUAUUCUUUUUAAGAUAACAUUGUCCUUCUUUGUUGGAAGGAAAUAAUGUUGUAUUAUUAAUUAGUGCCAGUAAAAUGUUAUCAAGUAUGGGUGUAUUAUAGUCCUUUGUCAGAAUACCAUUCGGGCACUAACUGCAGUUAUCAUGAUCUCUUCUUUCUAUAGGGUUCUGAUUAUUUCUAGGACAAGUUAUUUUAAAUCUAUU
rnacentral:lncRNA from 1 species